rnacentral:rRNA from 1 species
UAGGGAAUCUUCCGCAAUGGACGAAAGUCUGACGGAGCAACGCCGCGUGAGUGAUGAAGGCUUUCGGGUCGUAAAACUCUGUUGUUAGGGAAGAACAAGUGCUAGUUGAAUAAGCUGGCACCUUGACGGUACCUAACCAGAAAGCCACGGCUAACUACGUGCCAGCAGCCGCGGUAAUACGUAGGUGGCAAGCGUUAUCCGGAAUUAUUGGGCGUAAAGCGCGCGCAGGUGGUUUCUUAAGUCUGAUGUGAAAGCCCACGGCUCAACCGUGGAGGGUCAUUGGAACUGGGAGACUUGAGUGCAGAAGAGGAAAGUGGAAUUCCAUGUGUAGCGGUGAAAUGCGUAGAGAUAUGGAGGAACACCAGUGGCGAAGGCGACUUUCUGGUCUGUAACUGACACUGAGGCGCGAAAGCGUGGGGAGCAACAGGAUUAGAUACCCUGGUAGUCCACGCCGUAAACGAUGAGUGCUAAGUGUUAGAGGGUUUCCG